rnacentral:rRNA from 1 species
GACGGAGGAUGCAAGUGUUAUCCGGAAUCACUGGGCGUAAAGCGUCUGUAGGUCGUUUAAAAAGUCUACUGUUAAAAAUUGAAGCUUAACUUCAAAGAUGCCGUAGAAACUUUUAAACUUGAGUAUGGUAGGGGUAGAGGGAAUUUCCAGUGGAGCGGUGAAAUGCGUAGAUAUUGGAAAGACCACCAACGGCGAAGGCAGGUUACUGGUACGCAACUGACGCUGAGGCACGAAAGCGUGGGGAGCAAACAGG